GUCUAUGAUCUGCUCUUUUUUAAUCAAAAUCUAUACUGUUCUGGUAAAUGUUGCGCAUUGUUGUCAGAAUUGACUGUGGUUGCUGUAUGCCAGGACUCCAGUGUUGCUCUGUGUCGAUAGGUUGCCUUGUCUCAGAUUUCGCACUCGUCAAAGUUGAUUUUAUGAUCCUGAGUCCAAGCAUGUUUUGCUAUGUUUGAGCCGGAUUUAGAUUGUUUCACGUUUCUUUAAUGUUCCUUCUUCCUCGUUUCAAAAGCUCUACCAGUCUCACCUAUGUAGCUCCGGGAGCAGUCUGCGC